AGUAAUGCGUGACCAACCUCGCCCCAUGCUCCAGAAUAGCUCUUGGAAACGGGUGGUAAUGCUGGAUGCUCCAACUUGACGCAUGUCUUGUUGGGAAAGUGUUUAGUGGCAUGGGAUGGGGUCGCGUCCUAUCAGCUUGUAGGCGGGGUAAUGGCCCACCUAGGCUUCGACGGGUAGCCGGCCUGAGAGGGCGGACGCCACAUUGGGACUGAGAUACGGCCCAGACUCCUACGGGAGGCAGCAGCC
rnacentral:rRNA from 1 species